rnacentral:rRNA from 1 species
AUGGAGGAGGUGUUUCUGAAUCACGUGAGGAAGCAAUGGCUCGUCAAACCGCAGAUCUCCUCGGUUGGGUCAUGUUGUUUGGUUGGCAUUAUCAAUGAAGGGGUCCUCUACAUAGCAAACACUGGUGAUUCAUGUGUUGUCCCCGGGAGGGUCGAAAGAGGCGCCAAAGACAUUAAGGCAGUUCAGCUGUCAUCUGAGCAUAACGCGAGCUUUCUGGCUGUAAGGGAUGAGCUAAGACAGGUUUCCAGAAUGAUUGGCCACACCUACCUAAAAAGUUCGGAAUUUAAUCAUGAGCCCCUUCUGGCCUGGUUCCAUAUUCGGAGGCCCUUCCAUAAUCCAAUUCUUUGUCCCGAACCAUCCAUUGAAGAACAUAGACUGUGCAAAAUAUCAGUUUGUUAUAUUUGCAUCAGAUGGACUAUGUGA